rnacentral:rRNA from 1 species
UACGUAGGGGGCAAGCGUUGUCCGGAUUUAUUGGGCGUAAAGAGCGUGUAGGCGGUCAUGUAGGUCCGUUGUGAAAACUCGAGGCUCAACCUCGAGACGCCGAUGGAAACCAUGUGGCUAGAGUCCGGAAGAGGAGAGUGGAAUUCCUGGUGUAGCGGUGAAAUGCGCAGAUAUCAGGAAGAACACCCGUGGCUAAGGCGGCUCUCUAGUACGGUACUGACGCUGAGACGCGAAAGCGUGGGGAGCGAACAGG